rnacentral:RNase_P_RNA from 1 species
AGAGAAGAUCGGACGGUCGCCGGCCGUGGCAACACGGCGGGAGGAAAGUCCGGGCUCCGCAGGGCAGGGUGCUGGCUAACGGCCAGGGGGGGCAACCCCACGGAAAGUGCCACAGAAACAGACCGCCGCCUUUUUUCGCCCCUCGCGGGGGCGGGGCGGUAAGGGUGAAACGGUGAGGUAAGAGCUCACCAGCGGCGCGGGUGACCGCGUCGGCUAGGCAAACCCCACCCGGAGCAAGGCCAAAUAGGAGAGCGAUCGGACGGCCCGUCCGUGCUCUCGGGUAAGGCCGCUCGAGACGCCGGGCAACCGGCGUCCUAGAGAAAUGACCGUCGCCCUGGGUCACACGCUCGGGGGACAGGACCCGGCUUACAGAUCUUCUCUGGCG